CCUACGGGUGGCUGCAGUGGGGAAUAUUGGACAAUGGGCGAAAGCCUGAUCCAGCCAUGCCGCGUGUGUGAAGAAGGCCUUCGGGUUGUAAAGCACUUUCAGUGGGGAAGAAAGCCUUGGGGCUAAUACCCUCGAGGAAGGACAUCACCCACAGAAGAAGCACCGGCUAACUCCGUGCCAGCAGCCGCGGUAAUACGGAGGGUGCGAGCGUUAAUCGGAAUUACUGGGCGUAAAGCGCGCGUAGGCGGUCUGAUAAGCCGGUUGUGAAAGCCCCGGGCUCAACCUGGGAACGGCAUCCGGAACUGUCAGGCUAGAGUGCAGGAGAGGAAGGUAGAAUUCCCGGUGUAGCGGUGAAAUGCGUAGAGAUCGGGAGGAAUACCAGUGGCGAAGGCGGCCUUCUGGACUGAAACUGACGCUGAGGUGCGAAAGCGUGGGUAGCAAACAGGAUUAGAUACCCGAGUAGUC
rnacentral:rRNA from 1 species